GACGAACCGUCCAAACGUUAUUCGGAAUCACUGGGCUUACAGAGUUCGUAGGCGGUCUGGAAAGUUGGGUGUGAAAUCCCUCGGCUCAACCGAGGAACUGCGCUUGAAACUACCAGACUCGAGGGAGAUAGAGGAAAGCGGAACUGAUGGUGGAGCGGUGAAAUGCGUUGAUAUCAUCAGGAACACCGGUGGCGAAGGCGGCUUCCUGGACCGACACUGACGCUGAGGCGCGAAAGCUAGGGGAGCGAACGGG
rnacentral:rRNA from 1 species